rnacentral:rRNA from 1 species
AUGAUGAGAGCACGAGCACGUGCCAUUGAAACUGAAGUUAACUCUUUCCUCUUUAAGCAUUCUUUGGAUUCACAUGAGAAUUGGCUUCUACCUCAAACAAAACAUUAUGCAUUCUUAGGUACCAAGGAGAAGGCUGUGAAGAGGAGGCAAGGAGGGAGAAGGAGGUGCCACAGGGUUUGGGUAUGGGUGGAGCUACCCUAUACCCUUACCAGUCAUCCCAAACCUUACCCAUCACCCUUACCCAUAUCCGUUGACAUGUAUAAUUUUUUCUCAUACCCGUCACCCAUUAGGGUAAAUGGGUACCCGCGGGUAAAAUUAUCCAGAUUUGCAGCACAUCAAUUUGAGCAUUACACAGUCAUAAAUAACAACUUAUAA